rnacentral:sRNA from 1 species
GCGGGAGACUGGGGUUCGAUUCCCCGCCGGA